UCCAGGACAGUAGGCAGAUGAACAGGAGAAAAAAACAUGCACAUUUAUUACACGGAUGGGAGCAGCACGAGAAACAAAAGGUGGACACCAUGACAAAAUGCUCAGACUGACUUAAACAAAAGUGGGAGGCUACCGUUUCACACAAGUCAGAUGUGCAGUUGAGUAUGGCCUGACCGAGAGAAGGAAUUGUGUCAGCAGGAUUCUUUUCUCCACAGUGCUGCUUCUAGCUUGGUUCCCCUGCCAGGUGUUUAUGGCAGCAUCUCCUGACUUCAACUCCCAGAAUCUCUGGGAUUCCCCAUCCUGGUUUCAAGAUGCUGCAGAGGAAGCCCACUGCAAGCUUCACGUCUUUGGAGCAGCGAAUUCAAUAAAGAGUGCAGGACCCUAUUUCCCAGAGCCUCAGCUAAGUCUUCAUGUCCUCUUGGCUUCACUUGGGUUAAAUUCCCAACCCUAACACAGUCAUGUGGCAAAGGAGAUGGGAAACGGUCAUUGGCUUGAGCCAAUGUGAACUCACUCUUGUCCCAUGAAGGAAGGCACUAGUCAUAUCUCUUUAUGCUCCAAAAUUUAGCCCAGUGCUCUCAGUAAAUGACUCUUUUUUAUGUUAUGAAAGAAAACCAAGAAGGGUUGGUUUGGUGGGAAGAUGAACUCAGAGCUUUGGUAGGGAAGGAGUGAGACCCCAAGGCUUAGGUUGGGGACAAUAGGUAGAUGCAAUCGAGAGCUCUCACUGUAAUAUUCUCUGGAAUCCUUGAACUUCAGAAGUGGCCCACAUGGCCUAAUUGGAAGAUAGUGGGCCCUUCUUACUUGAAGACCAGAUAGUGAGACAGUGCCUUAUAAGACAACAUCUGUCUUCCUCAGGAUCUGCUCUACCUCCACUCCCAGCCACAAAAUUCAUAAUUAAGGUCAGAUGUCAGCACAACCUAACAGGGAAAGCAGAGCCUGCUAAGGGAGAAGAGGGAUUCUACACCCAAGCAGCUCAGAACCUGGCUGAUGUGUACUGGCAAGAACUGGUGAGUAUGCCUGGAAGUGAAUCUCCAUGGUGCUGGACCAAAAGGUUGGAAUAUAAAACUGGAUAAGAGAGAGUUUCUCUAUAAGGGGGCACUCCUCUUUCACUCAGAAUUAGCUACCUGGCAAGGGUCCCAGGAUGUGGGUCUCAUACACCGCUUGGAUAAGUCCUGGAAACUUGCAGAAAGUGUUGGCCUACAAAAAAAUGAAGUAAAGAUGGCAGAACUACCAGCACUGACUGUGGAGAAAAGAAUCAAGAGGCUUGGAGAAGUGGACAUGCUAGAAUAGUUCUCCCACGGGAGGUCAGUUGACCAUGCUCCUGGGGAGAACACUGCAUGGAUGCAGGUGAUAAGGAAUGCACUGGUGAGUUUGGAGUCCUAAUUAGGGAAAAGGAGUCAAGAUGGUUGGGACCAGGGUAAAGCAAAAAAACAGAUAAGCUGUAAGUUUGCCUUUCUUCAUGGUCCAGGACACAGAGCCAUCCUGUGCAAAUAACUCACCAUCUUCCUGCGCCCAGCUAUCACCAGACACUCGGCUGAUAGAAAAAUGCAAGUUAGCUCACUGCGACCUUGGCAUUAUCAGUACCGCACAAAGCCCUCUUCAGCACACAGCACAAGCACCAUCCUAUAAAAUCUCCAGCAAGCUUUUGUCUCCUUGCAGUCAGCUCCUCUCUUGCUGACUUGCCCAUUGCUUUCCUGAAAUACAUUUUCCUACUUUUUCCAAUAAAUCUGCCUUUCUUUACCUAAAA